UGGUGAUUUGUCCUUAUAGAGCACAUAUAUGCUGAAGACAAAGAAGAUAUCGACUAAAGAAUCGUUGUGUCGCACGUAUUGAGGGAAUUGGAUGAUACAAACAAAUUAUAAUUCAAAUCCACAAAACUUGAAACAUUUCAAAUCCCAUAACUUUGAUUACUCUUAAUUUCCAUCUCUCCAUCAUCAUUCUAACAACUUAUUGUCUGAAGAUUGACUUUCUAUUGUUGUGGUUAUGC
rnacentral:misc_RNA from 1 species